AUGGUCAUGCGCAUCUAUGGCACCGCCAAGCUUCAAGAGCACAUUCGCAGCGAUGUAAGCAUGGCCAAGUUGUUCGAAGGUCUCAUCCGCACCGACAACCGGUUCGAGGUCGUCGUGCCUAGAAACUUUGCCAUGGUGUGCUUCAGGAUCAAGGCUAGUGGAGCCAUAACAGAGGAGGCCGCAGAUGAGGCCAAUCGUGUGCUCAUGAAGAAUUUGAACAAGACUGGCAAAGCCUACUUUGCGCACACUGUGCUCAGCAACAGGAUCUUGCUCCGGUUUUGCGGUGGGGUCGUCGCUUCAAGAGGAGAGACACGUGAGGAGUGCAUGGGAGCUCAUCAAGAGGACGACCAAUGA
rnacentral:rRNA from 1 species